UUCCUUAGAUGGUACGUACAGUUACUUGGAUAACUGUGGCAAUUCUAGAGCUAAUACAUGCAAACCGGGUUCCGACCGCCGAGGAGGCGGAAGGAAUGCUUUUAUUAGAUCAAAACCAAUCGGACUCCUCCGCGGGUCCGUCACGUCCUGGCGACUCUGAAUAACUUUGGGCUGAUCGCACGGUCCCGAACCGGCGACGCAUCUUUCAAAUGUCUGACUUAUCAACUUUCGAUGGUAGGUUCUGCGCCUACCAUGGUCGUAACGGGUAACGGGGAAUCAGGGUUCGAUUCCGGAGAGGGAGCCUGAGAAACGGCUACCACAUCCAAGGAAGGCAGCAGGCGCGCAAAUUACCCACUCCCGGCACGGGGAGGUAGUGACGAAAAAUAACGAUGCAGAACUCUUUCCGAGGCUCUGCAAUCGGAAUGAGAACACUCUAAAUCAUUUAACGAGUAUCCAUUGGAGG
rnacentral:rRNA from 9 species